UGCCCGGUUGUGUAACAGGUAGCACUCGGGACUUUGGAUCCCGCUGUCCAGGUUCGAAUCCUGGCCGGGCAG
rnacentral:tRNA from 1 species